AGGAAGUCAAGGCAGAGAGCAGCAGUCAAGGCCAGUGGGCAAGGUGGUCCACUUGCAGUCUUCUCCUGGCCGAGCACACCCAUGCCAGGUAUCUUCUGGGCACCCUACUGAGUCACAUCAAGUUUUGAGGUACCCUGAGGAGGCUCUUAGCCAAAGCUUGGAAAGGGCAGCACACAUUGAGAACAUCUCGACAUCCACGUCCAGCCGAGGAUGGAUUUUGUCUGCUCCUCCUCCAAAAGCUAAGUGUUGGGGCCCGUGGUUGGGAGAACGGGAAAAGCCUUUACUGUCACAGGGGUCAGUUUCAUGUUAGCUUAGUGGAGAGGUCUGUAGUGGACAGGCUCUCUGGAAAUAAAGGGAGAGGGUUUCUCCUCAGCCUCACCAUAGCCUUUGCUGGGCAGGGCAGUUCCGACCCAUCUCCACAGUCUCGUGAACUUUGCGUCAUCAGCCUUCCUCGACUCAUCGUCAUGGCUCUUUCCCCCGAGGAGCUCGCCUUCAGUUCCGGAGCUAUAGCCAUGUCACUCGGCAGUCCGCUUCCUUCUCUAAGGCUUGCUGAGCCUCUCGAGCAUCCUCCUAACUGCUUUGGCCCUAACAUCCUUUAAUGAGCUACAUUUCAUCAUCACGUGCUGUCGUCAUAGGGCUUCCUUGGCCUCAGUGGCCUCUGGCUCAUCUUGCGCUAGGACUCUCGGUCCCCUACGGGGAAGUGCCAAGAAGUUGCAACUUGUCUCUGUGUUAUGUCAUCUGUGUCUGUUAUGGUGUCCGUGUCUGUGUUAUGUAGUGUGUGUCCAUUGUCUUCCACAUCAUAGGCCUUUGUUACAUCUCGAUGCGUUAUCGCACUCUUCUGUGCCAUAAGAGGCCGUGUUCUACUCACAUUCCUUUCUGGAUAUCCCUUAUUCUGGCAUCUUUACAUUUUUAUUCUUUGAAACAGGAAUGUCUCACAGGGAUGAGAUGUUCUCAUCCAUCUUCCUUCUCACUGCCAGCUUUGGUAGGGCCUUUUUUUCCAUUUUUUUGGACUUUCUCGAGGGAGCGUCUUACACCCUCCUCACGUGACUGCAGUAGUUCUAUAGGCUCCAUCUUCUCAAAGGGUGUAGGGCUCAAGAAUUCCGCUUCCAGAGAGUUAUCUCCAGUCCUGGCUUGUAUUGUAUGUACCUUUAUUGACUUAUAUUGUAUGUACUCACAUUGUAUGUACCUAUGCUGGCUUGUACUGUAUGUACUUAUAUUGUAUGUACCUAUGUUGGCUUAUACUGUGUGUACUUACACUGUAUGUAAGUUCGUCGCCCUACAUUAUGUGUAUUUACACUCUGUGUAUACUUGCACUGUAUGCAUCAGCUUAUAUUGUGUGUACUUACAUUGUACCACUUAUGAUCGGAGCUGCCCUGCCCUGGCACAUAGUCACAGUUAGGUACAACAGUUAUAACAACUUUUACUGUUCAUCUGUCUUUCGUGGGAUUUUGGGUAGAAAAUUUAUCAGUCCAGAGUGGGGACAAGUCCUAGCUUUCAGAUAGCCACUAGCUGACCCUUCCUGUUGUCUCACAGGUCGCCGAGGCUGCUGAUUUCCCCAGGAUCUGCCAUUUACCUCAAGGAGUGGUAGCCAGAAGAUGUGUCGAAGCACAGACUUCACCGUGUCAGCUAAAGGCCGCAGUGAGUGUGGUACUGAGAAAACACGUCUCCCUUAGAGUCCCACAGAAAGGUUCUCAGUGCGAUCUCUAUCAAGUGCUAUGAGUCUUGAUCAAUUGGAGAAGAGCCCAAGAGAAAUUUUUCAUCCCUUGAUAUAAAAGGGAUCGGUGAAUUUUAACUUUGGAGUCCCCUAUGCUAAGGAUGCUCAGCUUACAGGUGAUGAAAUGUUCAGUAAUGUAUUUGCUGCAGCUCUGCUUACCCAAGCUUUGGGUUCCUUCUGUCCCACUGGGACUUGCCCAAUUUGGUUGCAUCUGGUGAAAUUCACCCUGAGACCUUACAGAACCAGCUCCAACUACGUGAGAGCCAUUUGCAGUUCUCUCCAGACGCCUGGAGAAUGGGCGACGUUUCUGAGGAUCCGGCGAGCGUGCUUCUGUCAAAACUCAGUCUGUGAAAUUCCUGGGGAAAACCCUUCUGUGUCCUGAAGGGUUCAAACUCUGGUGAGGAUCCAGUUCUCAGGUGCUCACCUGGAUGGUUCCAGCUCCCAAAGGGAAAGACUCUCGUAUCCUUGUCGUCGGGCUCGGUGCUGUCCAAGAAGAUACGGGGACUAAAAAAAUAAUAAGAAGCAAAAUAUGACUGCAGGGAAAAGAAGCUGGAGAGAACAGAAGAGCCCUGUUGUACUAAUCAUCAUACAAGUACAAAACAACAAAUCAGACCCUGUCCCAAGCACUUAGUGCCCAGAACACGAUUUCCUCGGGCUGCCAUUUGUGUGCCAUCGGUACUCACCACGGAAGGGAGCUGGGGAUUGUUGCAGCUGUUGGGAACAAACCGCUUCUCGUCACACAGAAAUGGAAUUGGGACGACGCCUCGGCCAGCCCCUCUCUGCCAUCGUCUCCUGAAUCUGCAGCAGAGCAGUUCCAGUCCAUCCCGGCACGUGUAAUCCAGUUCCUGAUGAUCUGAGCACACGGAGCAGCGCUCAGCUGCUGUGGGGGGCUCAGGGAAGGCAGAGUGUGCAUUGUCAUCUUCCUGAACCUACAGACAAAUCAAAGUGAGAAGCCACAGCGUGGAAAUCAGUCACAUAUAUGCUAAAUAAAACUUGCAGAUUUUUUUAAGAA